rnacentral:misc_RNA from 1 species
AACGCAUCUUGCGCUCGCUGGUAUUCCGGCGAGCAUGUCUGUUUGAGUGUCGUGAACUCUUCAACCCCCAAUUUUUUGUAAUGAAAUUUUGGAGUGGCUUGGUUUCUGAGCGUUUGCUGGAUUAGUAAUAAUCGAAGCUCGUUCGUAAUAAAUUAGCAUCCUUCUCUUCGAGAUCAGAUUGACUCGGCGUAAUAGACUAUUCGCUGAGGACAUUCCUAUUCUGGAAUGGCUGAACUUUUGAAAUUAAUUGCUGGAAGCUUCUAAAACCCCGACAAUUUAGUCAAAUCCCUAAGAUUAGACCUCAGAUCAGGCAGGAUUACCCGCUGAACUUAA